rnacentral:lncRNA from 1 species
UCAUCCUAUCAAGUUGCUAUGGUGAAGGCAACCCAAAAGGACCAUGCACAACCGAAUCAAAUAAUUGCCUAAUAUAGUUGCAGCCUUAGACACUAUUCCAACAGUCUCCCACUUGGAUAAGUCUAGUAACUAUAUACACAAGCAUAAUCCAUUGCAAUCGUAACUCUCAAAGACGCUGUCAAGCUCUGAUCUAAUCAAUCUUGUCCUUCAGAUAAGAGAUCGUACAGUCCUCUGUUUAGAUAUCAUGCUGACAAUUCUAUGGAACUAAUUUGUCUAGCAUUUGGUUUCUCGAUCUCCGAUUUAUUUGACAUAGAACUUAAUCGAACACAUCAAUUCAGUUCUGACCGGGCCUGGCACAUAAGUCAAAUCAAAUCAUCGAGCGGCCGAGAUGUCGCUUUUACCUUCUUAGGAUAAAAGUAACAGAUAAACUUCGACUUAUAUGCAUUUACUUAUUCAUUAAUCAACUAUACACAACAAUGCGUUUUAUAACAUCAAGUUACUGAUGCGGUUUCGCAUUAUCAAUGUACAACCAAUUAACAAAUAACAAACCAUAUAUCUUGGCUUUAAGACCAUAUGAUAUUAUCAUCUUGCGAUCACCUUUUAUCACAUUCCAUAAGGUGAUUCCAGCAAGCGGGUGUUUGUUCCAAUGCUCAAAACUAGUUCAUAAGCACUCAUGAACNNNNNNNNNNNNNNNNNNNNNNNNNNNNNNNNNNNNNNNNNNNNNNNNNNNNNNNNNNNNNNNNNNNNNNNNNNNNNNNNNNNNNNNNNNNNNNNNNNNNAAAACACCUGAAUCAAAUAUAAAAUCCAAGAAGUAAGAAAUAAAUCCGAUUUAUAAAACAAAGCAAAUUAAACACAUAUUUCGAAUGAACUCAUCCAAAUACGCUUUCAGAACCAACAAAACCCACAUCUGAUUAAUGCAACAGUGAAAAAAUGAUAAUAAAUAAAAAUCCAAUAAGUUUUUGAGGAUUCCACUCUUUUUUCCUAUAAUCAAAUAGAGUAGAAAUCAAAUAAAUAAAAAACUAAUCUGAUUUCUGAAACAGAAACCAAAUCGAAUGAAAUCAUUUAAUAGUUGGAAUAUCAAUAUUUUUUGAAAUUAGGAGAGUACAGAAAAACUCAAGAUAAAGGUGUCGAUUCUACUUAUUAUUUUGAAUCUCAACUAUUUUCAAGUGAAAUCGACAAGUCUCAUACUCUCAUUCUAUUUUUCAAAAUAACUUAUGAAAAUGAGUUAAAUAAGAAAUUAAUUAGUUUUUUGAAAACCUAAAUUAAAUAAACAUAAUUUUCGAAUGAAAACACCCAAACUUGAUUUCUAAAACAACCAACAAGAAACAAAUCACACCAAAAUCAAUGAAUAACUAAAUCAGAACUUCAGAAGAAAGAUUAGAGAAAAUCGGACCUUGAAACCGGACUAGAUCAGAGGAAUCGUUGAUAUAUCGUGACUAAGUGUCAACUAAUAAAAAAAGAAAUUGAGAUAACGAGAUUUGAGAGAUAUAUGUUAUCGAUUUAUGGACUGGAAGUGAAAAAUAGAGAAAUCAAAUCGUACUUUUUUAUUUGUUGGCGACGUUUCUAGGUAGGCAAUGCCGCAUUAAUCCCAUUGACAAAGCCAACAGGUUUCUAGGCAGUAGGCACCAAGCGAGAGGCGACGUUUGGUUUAUCUAUGCGAAUGAUCGAGGAUACGAUGAUUAUUCAUUUGUUUGGCACGUCUCUUCCUUUCUCACGUUGAGCUCACAUCACAGAACAAAAUAUGGGCUAAGUUUUUGGGCCAUUAUAAUAUAUAGUAUAUGUAGCCGCACCAUUUUGAUGCCCUUAAAAGUUUGAUGCCCUGGGCCUAAGCCCAAUUCACCCAUGUAUUGGGUCAGCCCUGCUCCUCACAGCCAUUGAGUAGCCUGAAACUUCGACAUCGACCUCUGCUAGUCCUUUGUCGGAGGGCUUUCUCCACCGUAUGCCACACUGCAUCUCGGACCAGUGAGGCAACGACCUCCGUUGACAUUGAUUUAUAUUGACAUUGAUCUGUAAGUUGCUCUUUUAUCUCUAUCUUUCUUUCCAUUUCUUUCACUAACAUGUUACAAUAUCUACGUUUUAAAGAGUACUCGUUAUAAACCUGUACCACUUUUAAGAGAAUUAGCUAUUUAGCUAGUCUAUUAUGAGGCUUAAGUAUUUUUAUUAUUAUUUAGACAAAAUGUAAAAAUAGUUCAUGUGGUAUGCAUUUUUAUGGGGUUUUAGUCCAAACCCUGACUUUUUGGGCUUCGUGGUCAUUUUGAACUAGUUUCAUUGCGGAUUUGGUCCCUCGGUAAACUGAAAUGACUUUAAUACCCUUGAUUAUUUAUUUUGUAUUUCUAAAUUCAUUUUUGUUAAGUUUCAAUAAUUAUUUAUUCAUUUUAGUAAUUAAAAAAUGAAAAAACCUUGAUCUCGUCACCGCUACCAAGUCUACAAACAAGAUACUCAGAUUUGAAAACGAGGUCCUCAGAUAUGAAAGUUAUCAUCUCCUUGAGCUCGUCUCGGCUAAAAGAGAAGACGUACGGCGGCGGCGUUAGGGGUUGCUUUAACAGGAGGAGGAGGAGCAACACCUUCAAGAAGAAAAAAUCAAAUCGAGUGCAUGGGUCUCCGAUCUCCUCCUCAGCUGAUGAGCUCCUCCUCCUCAGAUUUGAUUCCGUGUGUGUGGAGAAGAAGGAGAUGGUGGAGGUUACCAGAAAAAUCAAUUUAAAGAAAAAAUGAGGUGAAGGACACGAUGGUAGUGGGGGACAGUAGGUGGAGAGUGUAUGUGUUCUUGAGUGUGUGUUCAUGAAUAUGAAUCUAUGUUCUUGAGUUUUGUAUUUGGAGAGAGAGAGAGAGAGAGAGAGAGAGAGAGAGAGAGAGAGAGAGAGAGAGAGNNNNNNNNNNNNNNNNNNNNNNNNNNNNNNNNNNNNNNNNNNNNNNNNNNNNNNNGAGAGAGAGAGAGAGAGAGAGAGAGAGGUGGGCCCUCUUUUUAUAUUAUUAAAAAAAUUAUUAAAAUAAAUAAAUAACUAUUAGAUUUUAAAAAAUAUUGAAAGAAAAAUGAAAAAUAAAUACCCCAAACAUAUUAAAGUCAUUUCAGUUUACCGAUGGACCAAAUAGGCAAUAAACUAGCUCAAAAUGAUCACGAAGCCAAAAAAAAAAGUCAGAGUUUGAACUAAAACCCCCUAAAAAAAACAUACCACAUGGAUUAUUGUUGCAAUUUUGUCUAUUAUUUAAUGUUUGUUAAUCCUAUACUUAUAUUUAUUUAAAUAAAAGAAUAUUAUAAAGUUUAAAGAAAAAUUAACAUUAACGAAAAUAAUUUGAUCGGCUAAUUGUCAAUGUAUAAUUAGUAAUUUUGUAAAAUAAUUUUUGUAAAGUUAAAAUAAUUAGUUGUACCGAAAUAUAAUUAUUGUUAUUAUAUUUUACUACUUUGUUAACUAUUAAUAAAUCAUAGUCUGCGUCUAGAUGGUAGAACAAUGACUUUUGGUUUCGGGCCUUUCGAUUAAAGUGUCCAUCCCGCCCUCCCCUCCACCCCCCUGCUAACUAACUACCAUAUGUAACCUGCUUAAGCGAACUGCCAAUAAGUAGCCAUGCUUAUGAUGACUCCAAUAAGCAACUCAACCUUUACACUCAACAAAUUUGUUCAUUUUUACCCCUAGCCGGAUUUUACAUUUAAAAGACGGUCACACCUUAGCUGACGCACUCAACAAAUUUGUUUAUUUUUACCCCAUAUUAGGAGUUUACCUUUAAAGGUAGGUCACACCUUAGUUGAUGCAAUGAAGUUGUUAGGUUGGAAAGAUGUUUUAUUCAAGGGAGAAAAAACGCAAGUAAUUGACGAGAAAUGGAAGAAGGGCGUUCGAACCCAUAUAUCCUCCCCAGAAAGCCAACACCUUUAUUGCUAGACUAAAAUAGUUUGUUUGAAAACUUUCUUAAAAGAUUAUACUUAAUAUCUAACAUGCAGGUUUUAUUAUUAUUNNNNNNNNNNNNNNNNNNNNNNNNNNNNNNNNNNNNNNNNNNNNNNNNNNNNNNNNNNNNNNNNNNNNNNNNNNNNNNNNNNNNNNNNNNNNNNNNNNNNGAACAAAAUUAAAUCGAAUUGUAUCUCAGUUGCAAAUACGACAAAUCAAAUUAAAUCCAAUAUAUUUAUACAUAAAUAAAUAUGCAUAUAAUUGCCCUGUGGCUUUCCUUCACAACCAAUUACUUUUUCCAUUUUCUCUCAGUUUUGAGUAAGUUUGUUAACAUAGAUGCAUAACAAUUGGACCUAGAUCAUGUAACAUAACUCUAUUAUUAUUAAUUUUUUUAUUGUAAAUAUAUUAAUUACUUGUGUUGGAGUUAUUCUAGCUCAUUAGUAACACCGUCAAUCUUAGUUGAUGAACAUCAGGNUAUAUAUAUAUAUAUAUAUAUAUAUAUAUAUAUAUAUAUAUAUAUUGACAAGAAUUCUAAACUUAUUCAAACAGAGAAGAAUUUUAAUUGCACCCUAUUACAACUGACUUUUAUAUUGUUGGAAAAAUGCAGAUGACAGAUUAUCUAUGCGAAGAGUUGAUUGUUGAAAUAUUUACAAGACUACCACCGAAAUCCCUCCUCCGAUUUAGAUCACUCUCUAAAUCGUUAUAUACUUGUAUUUCUAGUCCCCAGUUCAUACGCUUGCACACAUUCCGAUCCCCACAAAAAAUCCGCUUCACGCAUGAAAAUAUUGACAAUAAUAAAAUAGCAGAAGUCGUUUAUACAUUACACGGAGAAGACGAAUUGCCAUUGUGUUUGUGUCCCAAACGCGGAUAUAUUGGUAUAACAACAAGAAUUCCGUUUCCUUGUAGCAAUAGGUUCAGAACUGUUGGUUCAUGUAAUGGAACUUUCUGUUUGAAGACUAAAAAUGGUUUGACUCUAUGGAACCCUUCAAUCAGACGCAAAGUAAGAGUGGCUGAAUGUCCUCGGAGUUCUGAACUCGCUUUGGGAGGUAUUGGGUUUGGAUUUGACCCAAUCAGUGACGAUUACAAAAUUGUUUGGAUAUCAUAUGAAAAAGACACUUCAUUUGUUUAUGCGGUGAAGACAGGCACUUGGUGUGAGAUUGCUUCCCCUAAACCUGAGUUUACUUAUGUGCGACGUGAGGCGUUUUUAUUUAAAGGAGUAUUGCAUUGGGAGGUAAAUCAUUUUGACUUAGACUUUUCUUGUAUACUGACAUUCGAUUUGAGCACUCAUGUUUUUGGUAUGAUUCCAUUUCCUGGAUUGGCUCCGGACUGGUUGACGACAAGACUAACAACCAUCCAAGAUUCUCUAGCUUUGAUUUGUUAUCGCAUGAGUAUUGAUGAUAGUUGGAUUCUGGUAUGGAGAGAUGCUUCUUGGUCUGUGGUUUUUAAAUUGGGAACAGGUAAACUUCCAGUUGAUGGAGCUUUUCAAUUCCAACCACAACCGCAAACGACCAACGAGUGUAAUUUGUUGCUCACUACUUAUGGGGAAGGGUUCCAAAUUUAUAAUCCCAAGACAGGGGUGCGAUCAGGAAUACUUGGAUUCAAUGCUGCUUCUAGUUUAAUAGACUUUUGGGAGUGUGUGGAAACACUUCAUUUAUUAGACAUGGGGGAGGCUGCUUGCGAAACAACUCAACUAUGAGAAUUUUUUUUACAACAUUUGGGUUUUUGACGCAUUUUGAUUACCAUUUUAGUCUUUAUCAUUAAUACAAAAGAGUUGAUGUUACUGAUUCCUUCAUUCUAUUAAUAAAAAACCGAAUAUGUAAUUUCCCACUUCUUUGCCAAUAAAAUGAGAUCUUAUUGGGGCUGUUUUAACGGCUAGACUUUAUAUAAAUUGAACUUCAAGAAGCAGGAAUUACAUUGUACAAUAUAGAAGGUGUUGGCCCAUGAGUUCCAUAUCAAAUCCCUACACCAUUUAGCUUUACUUUUAAGCCAUAAAAUGCUCAAAGUCUAGGCCUCAUAAGUUAGAGUAGACAAUAUCUUCACUUUGCUAUUGAAAAUCAUACCGUGCCUGUACGUCCAUAUGGUCAAUAAUAGCACCCUUGAAAUCUCUUCAAAAAUAUAUUGAGACCUGUUUUCACACCAUAAGUAGAGUUUAUCCCUAGGAAGGCAUCAAAUGAGUCGUUCAAUAUAAGAGUCGAUGAAAGCAUUGCAAAGCGGACAAAUGGUGCAUGUGAUUACCCCCUACGUGCGAGGUUGAACCAGGUGGACAAUCUAUCGAGUCUCAACUGCUAAAUGAGGACGUUUAUUUUGUUGGGAACUACCUUAGACCAAUGAGGUUAAAGUUGUUCAUUGUCAAGAGUGGAAAGGUAAUAAAAUUAUGCUGCAUUUGUUUAUAAUAAUGUCUUUUUGUCUUCUUGAUUCUACCGGCUGUUGGCCCUAAUGAUUUGUAAAGUAUUGUGGAAAUAAUUGUAAUUUUGCUACCUUUAUUCUUGUAAACUAAAUUACUAAAAGGCUUCUAUCUCAACGGUAUCCAGUGUUGUCCUUCCUCCUUGAGGUUGAGUGUUCAAGUCUCGUUGUGGACAUAGAUGGAAUUAAGGAGUAUUUUAGAAGUAAAAUAGAAACACAAUCUUAUUGUAAAAUAGAAACACAAUCCAUGGAGGUUGAGUGUUAACUAACCAUUUGGCCCCAUGUUCAUGAUAUAUGCAUUUCUAUUAUUCUAUAUAUGCAUAAAUAACUAAUUGUAAACUAGAAACACAAUCUUAUUUGAUAUUUAUAUUUGAUAAUCUUAUAGAAAUAGCAAGCCUAACAAACUUGGAAGGUAAAUAAAUAAUUAACAGAUUCCACUAAAUACUAAAAACAUCAAAAGGAAUUAUGAGUAAAUUUAGGAUUUUGAUAAAUUAGGAAACGAGAAUUCUAUAAAAAAAACCAUCCAAUCUAGUAACACAUACCUUGAGAUUUGAGAAGAUACACAACCCUAGACUAAAACUCACCGCUGCCGAAAAAAAAUGAUUUCUCACCGGAAACAUAACCACCGCAGAACUUCCAACUAGAAUAUAUCGCCGCCGCCAGAGUGCUCACCGCCAUCUCUCUUGUGUCCGCCUCUAUCGGUCCUUGUCUCUCCACUCUAGGGCCGGUCCAUUGUUUUUUACUACCCUGGGCUAGAUAAGAAUUUUAUGUCCUUAUAUAUAAAAAAUUUACAAAAUAAAAAAUGCAGCAAAUUUUAUAAUCAACCAAAUAAUACACAAAAAUAAUCUAAAACGAUGUCUUUGUGCAUUUUUUGAAGCAAAAACAUCUCUUAUUUUACAAUAAUUAAUAUUUUGCUGCCUCUAGAAGUCGAAAAUCUGAUUAGAAGUGAUCUUUUGACAGCAGCUAGAAAUAUUGUUUCUGUUUCACAUCACCUCAAAAAACACAAAGGUUUAGAAAAUUUGUUUAGACAACAAAUAUUAAACACAAACAUAUUAGAAAUUAAACUCACCGGAAUCCUAAAAUCUGAUUUCUGAAAAGUCAUAUACAAAUCAGAUUUGGAGAAAACAUAUUUGAAACAGCAUAUACAAACAGAUUUCAAAAUAUACAAAUCUGAUUUCUUAAAGUCUGAUUUCUGAAACAGCUCAAACUUGGAGAAAACGGUAGAACUCACCUUAAAUUGCUUACAGAAACAAAAACACCUGAAUCAAAUAUAAAAUCCAAGAAGUAAGAAAUAAAUUCGAUUUAUAAAACAAGGCAAAUUAAACACAUAUUUCGAAUGAACUCAUCCAAAUAUGCUUUCAGAACCAACAAAACCCACAUUUGAUUAGUGCAACAGUGAAAAAAUGAUAAUAAAUAAAAAUCCAAUAAGUUUUUGAGGAUUCCACUCUUUUUUCCUGUAAUCAAAUAGAGUAGAAAUCAAAUAAAUAAAAAACUAAUCUGAUUUCUGAAACAGAAACCAAAUCGAAUGAAAUCAUUUAAUAGUUGGAAUAUCAAUAUUUUUUGAAAUUAGGAGAGUACAGAAAAACUCAAGAUAAAGGUGUCGAUUCUACUUAUUAUUUUGAAUCUCAACUAUUUUCAAGUGAAAUCGACGAGUCUCAUACUCUCAUUCUAUUUUUCAAAAUAACUUAUGAAAACGAGUUAAAUAAGAAAUUAAUUAGUUUUUUGAAAACCUAAAUUAAAUAAACAUAAUUUUCGAAUGAAAACACCCAAACUUGAUUUCUAAAUCAACCAACAAGAAACAAAUCACACCAAAAUCAAUGAAUAACUAAAUCAGAACUUCAGAAGAAAGAUUAGAGAAAAUCGGACCUUGAAACCGGACUAGAUCAGAGGAAUCGUUGAUAUAUCGUGACUAAGUGUCAACUAAUAAAAAAAGAAAUUGAGAUAACGAGAUUUGAGAGAUAUAUGUUAUCGAUUUAUGGACUGGAAGUGAAAAAUAGAGAAAUCAAAUCUUACUUUUUUAUUUGUUGGCGACGUUUCUAGGUAGGCAAUGCCGCAUUAAUCCCAUUGACAAAGCCAACAAGUUUCUGGGCAAUAGGCACCAAGCGAGAGGCGACGUUUGGUUUAUCUAUGCGAAUGAUUGAUGAGACGAUGAUUAUUCAUUUGUUUGGCACGUCUCUUGCUUUCUCACGUUGAGAUCACAUCACAGAACAAAAUAUAGGCUAAGUUUUUGGGCCAUUAUAAUAUAUAGUAUAUAUAGCUAGACCAUUUUGAUGCCCUUAAAAGUUUGAUGCCCUGGGCCUAAGCCUAAUUCGCCCAUGUAUUGGGCCGACCCUGCUCCUCUCAGCCAUUGAGUAGCCUGAAACUUCGACAUCGAUCUCUGCUAGUCCUUUGUCGGAGGGCUUUCUCCACCGUAUGCCACACUGCAUCUCGGACCAGUGAGGCAAUGACCUCCGUUGACAUUGAUUUUUAUUGAAAUUGAUCUAUAAGUUGCUUUUUUAUCUCUAUCUUUCUUUCCAUUUCUUUCACUAGCAUGUUACAAUAUCUACGUUUUAAAGAGUACUCGUUAUAAACCCGCACCACUUUUAAGAGAAUUAGCUAUUUAGCUAGUCUAUUAUGAGGCUUAAGUAUUUUUAAUAUUAUUUAGACAAAAUUGUAAAAAUAGUUCAUGUGGUAUGCAUUUUUAUGGGGUUUUUGUAACGACCAAAAAUUUCAACCAAUUUAAAAUUUUUGAAAACAACCCGAUUCCAUUAAAGUUAUUACAAAAAGGUUUUCAAUACAAUUUAUUUUAAGUAUUCCCAGAAUCUCAUCACAACAUAAACACGAGGAGCGGUACGAUCACGCCUUCGCCUUGCCACGGUCUCCUGAAGAACCUGAAAAACAUAAAACCACAACUGUAAGCCCGAAAGCUUAGUGAGAUAUCCCCAAAAUACCAACCACAUAUACCAUACACGCAUAACAUGCCAUAACAUAUCCGAUCACAGAACAGCCAUGCACUUCGGGUCUACUGUGGGACUGGUCCGCCGCACCGGCCAACAGUCCACCUGGUCCACCCUCCGAGUCUAGCCAUAUACCUCGAGUCUACAGUGUGAUUGGUCCGCCCGCACCGGGCCUUCAAUCCACCUGGUCCACUCUCCGAAUCUAACCACAUACAUCGAGUCUGCAGUGUGAUUGGUCCGCCCGCACCGGGCCUUCAAUCCACCUGGUCCACUCUCUGAGUCUACAGUAUGACUGGUCCGCCCGCACCGGGCCUUCAGUCGGCCUGGUCCACUCUCCGAGCCUCGGCACGUCUGGUCCGCCCUCUUGGGGCCUACAGCCUAUCCGGACCGCUCGCUGGGCCUUCGGGACAACCGGUCCGCCCUGGGUAUCUUGGCCUACAGCACAAAGCAGGACCCGCCUCAACCCAACUCCAGUCCAAACAACCAUGUGCACAUAAACAUACAAUCAUAUAGCAAUUCACAGUCAACAAGCCGAUCAAACAGAUCACAUAACAUAUCAUCAUCCUAACCAGGAUACCGACCUAACCGGUCACUAGCAUAGCAUCACCCUAUCUCUCAGGAUACCGAUCUCAACCAGGUCUCUAACAUAUACCAUCCUAGCUACCAGGAUGCAAACAUAUCAAAGCAAUAACAUAACAACAACUACCCGGAUCUCAAUCCGAUAAGGGCCGGCCUUGGUGCCUUAGACCCUGUUGAUAUAGUGAGGAUAACUCACCUCGAAACUGCCGACUGAACAGAUAACCCAAGCUGCUCCGAUCACUGAUACGAUCUCCACCACUGGACAACCACCAAGGCACUGAACUCAAAACAAUAUCCAACAAUUACCAAAAUGCCCCUGGAAACCACUGGUCAACCCUUGGUCAAAGUCAACCCCUGACUGACUCUACUCGCCGAGUCAACCCGAUGACUCGCCGAGUCCCCAUGCUCAGAAAUUCCCCAAUCCGCGACUCAACUCGCCGAGUCACCCCGAGACUCGCCGAGUUCAACAACUCUGAGUCCACUCACACACAACUCACCGAGUCAUCCCCUUGACUCACCGAUUCACGGCUCAACCAGAAAAGAUUGGGACUCUUCGACAAGACUCGCCGAGUCCAAGAACAGACUCGUCGAGUCUAAGGCUAUCUUCAACCUACUCGCCGAGUUGUUCUUCCAACUCGUCGAGUUCCAGGCCAUCUUCAUCCAACUCGCCGAGUUGUUCUUCCAACUCGUCGAGUCCCAGCCUAUCUUCAAGCAACUCGCCGAGUCCACCCAUGUGACUCGCCGAGUACCACCGGGUCUGAAUCCAUACAGAGGCUUUCCAAGCCAUGCAGAUGAUCCAAACCAUAGAUCUACCCUUCCUAAGGCCAUCCAUCACGUAAAGUGGCAAACUUUACGUGAAUCCAAGGAGAUCUAGGCACUUUACACUCUAGGGCUAGGGUUUGGGACAAAAUAGCUCCUUCAAACACUCAUCAACAGGGACUUUAUGACAUAUAGGACCAUCACAAGCUCAGAUCUGAAGUAGCAUCCUCAGAUCCAAGCUUCUAUCUCACUUUAGAUGCCAUACCAACCACCACACAUGAACCCAUGAAGAAAAUAGCUUAAGGAAAUGGUUCCUUACCCUUGGAAUGAGCCCAACCAACUGUAGAUUGCUGUUUCCCCCAAGCUUCCUGAUACAAGCCUCCAAUCUUCAAGCUUAAAGCACCAAAUAUCCUUCUCCAAGCUCUAAUUCACUCAACAAUGGGGUUUCCUCACGAAAUUAGGGCUUCUGGAACUCAAGGGAUGAUAAGGAGGCUGGGGAGGAGACAUAAUGUUCUUUAUAUAGGGCUCAACCUCCGGAUUUAGGGUUUUCUCCACUCAGCACCAACUCGCCGAGUCCACCCAUGCUACUCGCCGAGUUGGUCACUUAACACGCGACUAGAGUCGCGACCCUACUCGCCGAGUCCACUCGUGGACUCGCCGAGUCGCUCCUUCCCAUUUUACUCUUUUAGCCCUUCAACUUUACUCUUGCUAUUCCGGGAUGUUACAAUUCUCCCCCACUUACAUUAGGCUUCGUCCUCGAAGCCUGCAACAACUCAACUGUUAGAAAUACUCCUGCCACGCAUCACCUGGCAUUAACCCAACCAGGUUCCUCAAAACACAACCAUAGAACCAGAAACUCACUUUCUCCUUCCUUACGGUGUCCUGACCACCGUCUCGAGCCGGCCACCGGCUUUACCCUCUGAUAACUCCACUUAACAACUGAGUACUACUCAUGAUGCAACACUGCUCCAAAUCACAACCAUCACUCGACCCAUAUGAGCUAGAAAAUAACCAUGCACCACCGGAUUCCCGAUCCGAGUCCAACUCUAAUCAUUCUGCUGACAGAAAGACACAUUCUUCAGAGCAACUCCCAUGAGUUCUCCUCUUGCAAUCACAUACACAUGCUGAACUAGCUCUAGCACCCUCAGGUUGGGAAAACCCGAUACACUGAUGACAUCUCCAAACAUCCCCCAGGAUGAACCACUACUACAUACACAAUUUCCUGAUCAGAAUCACACUGAGAGCCCAAGACUCCCUCCCUGCAUCCCUUCCGAGCCCCUUGGCUCUACACCCGCGGAAUUCCUUCCGCGACCUCAGCAGACAUCCCAAACCGGAUGUGAUUCCAUGCCACUGCCGCAAUCAUGCUGCUCAAAGCCCAUAAUUGGAUCACUAUAAUCAUAACUCUGCUCUGCCGCUUUCACUUCCGUGAAUUUGCACUCCCUCUCGGAGUUACACUCCUCUCUCUUUCCUUUGCCAAGGAAAUCCACUUGCUCGCCUUGUCACUCCGACAAGUGCCACGGUGCUCGCCCAACGCUACACCACUCCUUCAUAGCGUAACCGCACACAUGCUCUGACUCUGAUCGCAGGGACUCUCAAGCCCAUGCACAAACUCCACUAAUCAAGAUCAAAACCCGGGGCCAGACCUUCUAAUGCUAUCAUGCCGCAUAAACACAAUCCAUAUCCUCGAACCGAUCUAACAACGCCUGCAGAGUCUUCAGCAUGACUGGACCGCCUCACCAGGCCUUCAGCCAUUCUGGACCACUCUCAAAACCUUCAGCCAACCUGGACCGCUCUCUGUGCCUUCAGUCUGGCUGGACCGUCCUCCGAGCCUUCGGCCUGACUGGUACGCCUACCGGCCUCCGGUCUAUCCAGACCGCUCAACUAGCAUUCAUCAUUCCGAGCUACCUCUCCGAGAAAUCCUCCCAUGCAUACUGUUCUAGCCCUCUAGGGGUUCUGAACUCUAUCUCCAUCACACAUAAUCGAUCCCGGCCUGAUCCCAGGCCCUCCACAAUCAAAUGCUCUAGGUCUGUAUCCUGCCCUGCAUGCCCGACACUUGCUCCUACUAGCCUACACUCUGGGCUGACAUAACACUGCUGAAUCCCAAACAGCUAAGCAACCUCACAUGCUCAACGAUCUUCCGGAGAAUUUUCCAAUUCUCCCCCACUUAUAGCACUGACUAUCAAACACCAGUCACCAUUACCGACCACCCAAAACAACCUUGCACAAAACCAACACUUACACGCGGACUGCUUCCCACAAGCAUAAACAACCUUAACAAAAUCCCAUAUCAACACUGAUUAUCCCGCUCGAAAGAAAUCAAUUUGUAGCUAACCACUCCUCAGAAAGCAGAUGCUACCCGGCCUUCAGACCAAUGCCAGGUUUCCACUAACAACCCCCCAUAAUUGAUAACCACGAAAUUCCCAAAACUAAACCCAUAGCCAUGCCAUAACCCUCAAAGAACAACGAAUACCACACCGAGAACCACACAAAGAUACUAGCACAUAAACAAUACACCACAAUAAUCACAAGAUAACAAGACAUCAAGGAAGAAACAUACCCGCAGCUGCAUCCGACACUGCUCUGACCUCCUCUGUUGUAAGCUGAAAAGCACAACCCUGAGCCCUUGGGGGCUCCGCUCCACCCUGACCUCCACCCGUGAUCCUCAAAGUGGCCGGUGCUGGAGCCUGCACCGGUCCUGCAGCGAGCUGUGGACAGCAAACCCUCAAAUGUCCAACCUGAUGACAAUGAUAACAAAUCAUCAAAUCCCGAACCGGCGCUGACUGCCGACAAUCCCUCGCAUAGUGCCCCUCCUUUCCGCACUUGCGGCAUGCACCACCGGACCUACAAACUCCGGUGUGACCCCUCCCACACUUCCCACAAGUGUGGCUGCUCAGAUCUCCCACUCUAGCAUCAACGGUCUUGGACCGUUUCGGCGCCGGCUGCGACUGCACCGGAGCCUGCCUCAGCUCACGCANNNNNNNNNNNNNNNNNNNNNNNNNNNNNNNNNNNNNNNNNNNNNNNNNNNNNNNNNNNNNNNNNNNNNNNNNNNNNNNNNNNNNNNNNNNNNNNNNNNNNNNNNNNNNNNNNNNNNNNNNNNNNNNNNNNNNNNNNNNNNNNNNNNNNNNNNNNNNNNNNNNNNNNNNNNNNNNNNNNNNNNNNNNNNNNNNNNNNNNNNNNNNNNNNNNNNNNNNNNNNNNNNNNNNNNNNNNNNNNNNNNNNNNNNNNNNNNNNNNNNNNNNNNNNNNNNNNNNNNNNNNNNNNNNNNNNNNNNNNNNNNNNNNNNNNNNNNNNNNNNNNNNNNNNNNNNNNNNNNNNNNNNNNNNNNNNNNNNNNNNNNNNNNNNNNNNNNNNNNNNNNNNNNNNNNNNNNNNNNNNNNNNNNNNNNNNNNNNNNNNGUCAAAGUCAACCCCUGACUGACUCUACUCGCCGAGUCAACCCGAUGACUCGCCGAGUCCCCAUGCUCAGAAAUUCCCCAAUCCGCGACUCAACUCGCCGAGUCACCCCGAGACUCGCCGAGUUCAACAACUCUGAGUCCACUCACACACAACUCACCGAGUCAUCCCCUUGACUCACCGAUUCACGGCUCAACCAGAAAAGAUUGGGACUCUUCGACAAGACUCGCCGAGUCCAAGAACAGACUCGUCGAGUCUAAGGCUAUCUUCAACCUACUCGCCGAGUUGUUCUUCCAACUCGUCGAGUUCCAGGCCAUCUUCAUCCAACUCGCCGAGUUGUUCUUCCAACUCGUCGAGUUCCAGCCUAUCUUCAAGCAACUCGCCGAGUCCACCCAUGUGACUCGCCGAGUACCACCGGGUCUGAAUCCAUACAGAGGCUUUCCAAGCCAUGUAGAUGAUCCAAACCAUAGAUCUACCCUUCCUAAGGCCAUCCAUCACGUAAAGUGGCAAACUUUACGUGAAUCCAAGGAGAUCUAGGCACUUUACACUCUAGGGCUAGGGUUUGGGACAAAAUAGCUCCUUCAAACACUCAUCAACAGGGACUUUAUGACAUAUAGGACCAUCACAAGCUUAGAUCUGAAGUAGCAUCCUCAGAUCCAAGCUUCUAUCUCAAUUUAGAUGCCAUACCAACCACCACACAUGAACCCAUGAAGAAAAUAGCUUAAGGAAAUGGUUCCCUACCCUUGGAAUGAGCCCAACCGACUGUAGAUUGCUGAUUCUCCCAAGCUUCCUGAUACAAGCCUCCAAUCUUCUAGCUUAAAGCACCAAAUAUCCUUCUCCAAGCUCUAAUUCACUCAACAAUGGGGUUUCCUCACGAAAUUAGGGCUUCUGGAACUCAAGGGAUGAUAAGGAGGCUGGGGAGGAGACAUAAUGUUCUUUAUAUAUGGCUCAACCUCCGGAUUUAGGGUUUUCUCCAAUCAGCACCAACUCGCCGAGUCCACCCAUGCUACUCGCCGAGUUGGUCACUUAACACGCGACUAGAGUCGCGACCCUACUCGCCGAUUCCACUCGUGGACUCGCCGAGUCGCUCCUUCCCAUUUUACUCUUUUAGCCCUUCAACUUUACUCUUGCUAUUCCGGGAUGUUACAGUUUUAGUCCAAACCCCGCUUUUUUGGGCUUCAUGGUCAUUUUGAACUAGUUUCAUUGCGGAUUUGGUCCCUCGGUAAAUUGAAAUGACUUUAAUACCCUUGAUUAUUUAUUUUCUAUUUCUAAAUUCAUUUUUGCUAAGUUUUAAUACUUAUUUAUUCAUUUUAGUAAUUAAAAAAUGAAAAAACCUUGAGCUCGUCACCGCUACCAGAUCUGCAAACAAGAUACUCGGAUUUGAAAACGAGGUCCUCAUAUAUGAAAGUUAUCAUCUCCUUGAGCUCGUCUCGGCUAAAAGAGAAGACCUACAGCGGCGACGUUAGGGCUUGCUUUAACAGGAGGAGGAGGAGCUCGCCAGCUGAGGAGGAGAUCGGAGACCCAUGCACUCGAUUUGAUUUUUUCUUCUUGAAGGUGUUCAUCCGAAUAUCAUUCAUCAGAUUUGAUUUCGUGUGUGGAGAAGAAGGAGAGGGUGGAGGUUACCAGAAAAAUCAAUUUAAAAAAAAAAUGAGGUGAAGGACACGGUGGUAGUGGCGGACGGUAGGUGGAGAGUGUAUGUGUUCUUGAGUGUGUGUUCAUGAAUAUGAAUAUAUGUUCUUGAGUUUUGUAUUUGCAGAGAGAGAGAGAGAGAGAGAGAGAGAGAGAGAGAGAGAGAGAGAGAGNGAGAGAGAGGAGGAAGGGGGGAGAGAGAGAGAGAGAGAGAGAGAAAGAGAGAGAGAGAGAGAGAGGUGGGCCCUCUUUUUAUAUUAUUAAAAAAAUUAUUAAAAUAAAUUAAAUAACUAUUAGAUUUUUAAAAAAAUUGAAAGAAAAAUGAAAAAUAAAUACCACAAGCAUAUUAAAGUCAUUUCAGUUUACCGAUGGACCUAAUAGGCAAUAAAACUAGCUCAAAAGGAUCACGAAGCAAAAAAAAAAAAAUAUAUCAGAGUUUGGACUAAAACCCCCUAAAAAAAGCAUAUCACAUGGACUAUUUUUGCAAUUUUGUCUAUUAUUUAAUGUUUGUUAGUCCUAAACUCAUAUUUAUUUAAAUAAAAGAAUAUUAUAAAGUUUAAAGAAAAAUUAACAUUAAUGAAAAUAAUUUGAUCGGCUAAUUGUCAAUGUAUAAUUAGUAAUUUUGUAAAGUUAAAAUAAUUAGUUGUACCGAAAUAUAAUUGUUGUUAUUAUAUUUUACUACUUUGUUAACUAUUAAUAAAUCAUAGUCUGCGUCUAGAUGGUAAAACAAUGACUAUUGGUUUCGGGCCUUCCGAUUAAAGUGUCCAUCCCGCCCUCCCCUCUGCUAACUAACUACCAUAUGUAACCUGCUUAAGCGAACUGCCAAUAAGUAGCCAUGCUUAUGAUGACUCCAAUAAGCAACUCAGCCUUUACACUCAACAAAUUUGUUCAUUUUUUACCCCUAGCCGGAUUUUACAUUUAAAGGACGGUCACACAUUAGCUGACGCACUCAACAAAUUUGUUUGUUUUUACCCCAUAUUAGGAGUUUACCUUUAAAGGUAGGUCACACCUUAGUUGAUGCGAUGAAGUUGUUAGGUUGGAAAGAUGGUUUAUUCAAGCGAAAAAACGCAAGUAAUCGACGAGAAAUGGAGGAAGGGCGUUCAAACCCAUAUACCCUCCCCAGAAAGCCAACACCUUUACUGCUAGACUAAAAGAGUUUGUUUGAAAACUUUCCUAAAAGAUUAUACUUAAUAUCUAACAUGUAGGUUUUCUUAUUAUUAUUAUUAUUAUUAUUAUUAUUAUUAUUAUUAUUUCAUGAAUUUAUAAAUGUAUUUUUAUAAGUAAAAAAAUGUAUUUAUUUAUUUAAAAUUGUAUUUAUACCUUUAAAAAUAAUUAAAGAUACUUUACACCAUAUAAAUAAGUUUGUAAAGGUAUAUAAAUAUAGGUAUAUGCUUUGUUUAUUUUAAAAUUGUGUACAAAUAUUUGUAUGCUUUUUUAUGUAUUUAUACAUAUUUAUAUGUAUAUAUGUAUAUGUAAAUGCAAUUUUAUACGUAUUUAUAUCUAUAAAUAUGUAUAUAACAUUUUUACACGUAUAAAUAUAUUAAUAGGAUGUUUAUAUGUUUUUAUAUCUAAAAAUAGAUAUAUAACAUUUUUAUACGUACAAUGGUACAAAUACAUGCACAACAUUUUUAUANAAACGUUAUAUAUGUAUAAAAAUAUUUCUAUAUGUUAAUUAAAUAUGUAUAAGAAUUUAUUUGACAAAACUGUAAGAUUGGUCCCUGUGAUAUUCAAAAAACUUUGGAUAGGGUACAAAAAGUUUUCAACUUGCAUGGAAUGUCCAAAAUCAAAGUUUUUCUGGCUUUUUGGUCCUGAGACACUUGAAAAGUCGAUUUUUCUCUUUUCGUUUCUUUUUUUCUAUUUUCUUUAUUUACUUUGGUAUUUAAAUAAUUAAAAAUAAAAAAUAAAAAUUAAUCUCUCUCUCUCUCUCACAAAAACACAAAUCGAUUUCUCUCUCAGUAAGAUGCAUUCCUCAACAAACUACUUGUCGGAGCUACUCUCAAUACACCACUGUUAACCACAUUUCAAAAUGGGAAAGAACUCGAAAUUCUUCAAAUCACUCCCCGGAUUCAGGACCACCGAAGCCCCCACCACCCAAUCUUCACGUUCAGAGCAUAAACAACCAAUGCGACGGUGGAGUUUUGCGAAAUUGCACAAAGAGAUUCCUCACCGUCGACUCUGGGACACUUCCAAAAAAAUUCCCUUUUUUUAGACCUCCGAUGUUAGACCCGUGCAUUCUUGGGCCUCUGAUUGUGCUUGUAACUCAAAUUUAGAUUUCAUUUUCUCCCAUAGAGUUGCCCCGACGGAUAGAAUUUGGUUCAAAACUCGAUUUCAGACGUUCAACCCUUCCAGAUCAAAAAUUGAUUAAAAAAAUAGAUUGGAAAUUUCAAGAAAAUGAUAUUGUUGUAUAUUUGGCCAUUGAAGUUCCUAAAUCGAGGUGGAGGUAUACAGAGACAAAGUUUUAUUGAGAAAUCGAUAUCUUACCUUCAAUUUUCAUUUCGUUUUUAGGGUUUUGUUGAGAUAUAGGCUUUGCACCGCCGCUUGCCAUGGAGGUUAUAUCCGGAAUUGCAAAGUUAGGGUUUCCAGCGAUGGUGAAAUAGUUAUGGUUUUUUUUGCUUCAUCUUUGUUUCCCGGUACGAAAUAAAUGAUCACAAGGACGACAAGGCACUGGUGUGGAUCGGAAGAGAGGAAUGUAUCUUACAACCAAUUACAAAGCAAAUACUUACCUGAGCCGGAGUCGAGAGAGGAUGUGAGUGAAGAAGAUACAACGGUGUUCUUGAAUGUUGAAGAACAAAGCAAUAAAUGUGAGUGUUAUUCUUUGUUGACGAGAGAGAGAGAGAGAGAGNGAGAGAGAGAGAGAGAGAGAGAGAGGAUGAUAAUUUUUAUUUUUUAUUUUUUUAUAAUUUUUUAAAUUAUAACACAAUAAAAAAAUGGAAAAAAGAAAUAAUAAGGGUAAAAUGGACAUUUCAAUAUUUUCAGGACCAAAAGUAAAGAAAAAAUCUUGAUUUUGGAUCAUCCAUACAAGUUGAAAACUUUUUGGACCAAUUUUAUAGUUUUGUUAACUUUAUUUGCAUGUAUAAAAACGUUUUAUAUAUAUAUANNNNNNNNNNNNAGAUUUUUAUAUAUAUAUAUAUAUAUAUAUAUAUAUAUAUAUAUACACACACACUAGGUGACCGACCCUAACCGACCCUAGUAGGUAAAAUUUGGCUAAGAGGCAAAACUAAUCAUAUUUUCUACCAUUUGAGCAUAAACGAACAUUUUGUUAAGUAUUAGAGGCUUUUAUAUCAAUAACCCAUAAAUAUAACUGAGUUUGUAGGGCCUCGAGUAUAAAUAGAGUUUGGGUUAGGCCUACAUCCAAACAUAUUUAAGUCGUUUAAAGCUUUCUUCUUCGUCGUGUGAUCCAUAGUUGUCUUCUAAUUGUUCUAUGUUGAGUGGUUUUGUUAAUAGUCAGUUCCUCUUUAAGAUUUUAUUUUUUUCUCCUAUUAUUUUAUGCGAGGAUGGAUACUAAAAUGUUUAAAUUAACCGACCUUAUAAUCUUGUAAGCUACAUUUAUUGAAUAUUUCUCUUUGAAAUUGUAUGUUAUGAUAACAUAACUUUUUUAUUACUAAAAUUUAGUGUAAAUAUAUGCAAAUGUAUUAUUGUCUAGGAUUUACUCAUGCUCAUGGUCGUAGCGGAUGUUUAUAAAUUGCAUUCAAUGUUGAAUUGAAUGGUUCCAACUUCUUAAUGAUCGGGCUUACAUCCAAACAUAAAACCUAUCUUUUUUGCUAAAUCUUUCUCCUUCUCCAUCGUGAUUCGGUGCUCCUUCCUUUCUCGUAUCUGUUGAGUUGUUUUCUUAAUUUCCCUUUAAGAUCUUUUUUUGCCUUACAGUUUAUAUGAUUAUGGCUGUAAAGAUAUCCAGAUUCAUCGACAUUAUAAUCAUUUAUUGAUGAUAUUUUUUGAAAAUAUAUUAGAUAAUGUAGUUGAGCAUAACGACCACCAAACUUUGGUUAUUUGAAUAUCUAUUUUGUAUACAUAGGACAUGCGCAAUUAGUUCAUUGCAUUUUAAUAAGUUUAUCCCUAUCGCUUUCGUUCACAACCAAUUACUUUUUUCAUUAUCUCAGUUUUGAGUUAAUUUGUUAAUUUAGAUGCAUGGCAAUCGGAAGUACAUCAUAUAACUGAGAACAUAACUAUUUUAUAAUUAUUUUUUUAUGUAAAUAUAUUACUUCUAUUGGAGUUGUUCAUGCUCAUUAGUUUCACCGUCAAUCUUAGUUGAUGAAUAUCUGGUGCAUCCAUUUACUUAUGUAAACCAUCAAGACAUAAAACGGCUAGGGUUUUAUAUUAUUAUCAAAUAAGAUGUACAAGAUACAAUAAAAGGAAAAUACAUACUAGCUAAUUACAGUUUUCUAGCUAAUGGGUCAACAUAAGACCCAAUACAAAAUAAAGUCCAUAAUCUUAUUAUGUUAAUAUCCCCUUCAACCUCACAAUGCAACAAAGCAAUAUCCAUUGAGAAUUUGUCAGACAUAAAAUGAAAUCGAUGAGCAGUCAAUGGCUUUGCAAGAAUAUCAACAAUCUGCAAAGUGGAGGAAACAUAAGGAAGAGAGAUAGUUCCAUUCUGGAGACGAUGUCGUGUGAAAUGACAAUCAAUCUCAAUUUGCUUUGUACGCGCAUGAAACACUGAAUUCUUGGCAAUCAUUAUCACACUCUCGUUCUCAUAAUACAAAGGGGUAGGCUGAGAGAUGUGAAUGCUGAUAUCUGCAAGAAACCAUCUCAACCAAACAAUUUCUCAAGUAGCGAUAGCCAUGGCUCAAUGCUCAAAUUCUGUAGAAGAUCGAGAGACAAUAUCUUGUUUCUUGCCUUUCCAUGGUAUCAAUGAAUCUACUAGAAAAGCACAAUACUCAGUAGUGGACUUACGAUCAUAAAUAUGACUAUCCCAAUUUGCAUCACAACAGGCAUAUAAAUCAAGGAGGAUGUUGNAGGAUGUUGAUGGAAACACAAGAGUGGGGAACUGAUUACCAUGUAGAUAUCUCAAAAUACAAAGAACGACUCCCCAAUGAACAGUAGUAGGAGCAGUGACAAACUAGCUAACCACACGAACUGCAUGAGCAAUAUCUGAUCUAGUGACAGUCAGGUAAACCAAAAUCCCUACAAUGGUAUGAUAAAGGCUUGGAUCUGAUAAUGGGACACCAUCAGUUGGAGAGUACUUUGCAUUAAUCUAUAUAGGCAUAUCAACUGUCCGAUUAUCCGUGAGUCGUGCACGUUCGCUUUCAAAAAUGAUGAAUAUGAAGUCCGAGAGGCUGCAGGUACUAUGGAUCCUCUGACUCCCAAUCGGGUUUUUCAUUUGUUUCGAGAAAUAUAUCGAUCAAUUCUGAUUCUUUCUUUUUCUCUUGAUUCUUUUCCGAUCGAGAUGUAUAGAUCCUAUUCACGGAUUUAGAUCUGUAAGAGUAUUAUUCCGAUAGACAAUUCUUCUAUAGAUUUCAUUAAUAUCCGAGGUCACUAGUUUAUCCUCAUCUAUAUGAUAGAUUGGUCUCAACUCAGGAGGAAGGCUAAGGAGAGGACUUACUUUGUUUUCUUUCCUACGCAAGUCUGGUUCUAUCUCGGGUAGUUCGAGUAGUAGAAACAAAUCAGAAAUAUACUUCGUCUGAGAUAAAAGAUAACCAUUUGGAGACCGAGCAACUUUAAUCCCCAAGAAAUACUGUAGUAAACCCAUGUUUUUCAUAGCAAAACGGUGAGCCAAAUCACGCUUUAAAGACUCUAUACUAUCAUGAUCAUCAUCAGUAAUAAUCAUGUCAUCGACAUAUAAGGAAAGAAUAAUCUGAACUGCAUUCGUAUAUCGAACAAAUAGAGCCGAGUCAUUGUUACUUGGUUGAAAACCAAACGAAGUAAUCACCAUAGAAAAUUUCUCAAACCAAGCACGAGGGGCUUGUUUGAGGCCAUAUAGUGUCUUCUAAAGCCGACAAACUUCACCUGAUUGGUAAGCAAUACCAGGGGGAGGAGACAUGUAUACUUUUUAAUGAAGAUUACCAUUUUAGAACACAUUCAACCAUAUAUAUGGUCUAGCUCUGCCAUUGUUCACUACCUUUCAUAUUAAAAGUGAACCAAAGAGUAACAAUCAUGAUAAAACAUAAAUAUUAAAUAUGUAACACAAGAUGUGACUGAAACAAGUCGCAUUAAUUACUAGACAACCAAAAUGUUGAAAAUAUGCUAAUUACACUAUUAUCAACCUACAAUUUUGCAUCGAAUAUGCAAGUCACUAUAGAAUCAACCAAAAUGUAGGUAUGAUUAUGAUCAAGAAGUUUAAGCUUACAGUCUCAUUGACUGAACCAACAUCUCAUGUUGUAACGACCCAAUUUUCGCGUCCAAAAAUUUCGUUUUAAAACAUUACUUUAGGAAAUAUCAUCAGUUAAAAACAUUGUUGGAUCAAACCAUAAUACAACGUAGACCAAGUUAAAAAGUAAAAUCAUACAACCCAUCAAAAUAUCAGAGUAUAAAUCCCAGAGAAUCUCGUAAAUGCGGAAACCAGAGUGUGUGCAUGAUGUGCCGCUACCGCGCCAGCUCCUUCCCUUUCGAUGAAGAGGUACCUGAAACCAAAACUGUAAAACGUAAGCACAAAGCUUAGUGAAUUCCCCCACUGUACCACAUACCACAUAAUCACAUAACAUACGUAAAUUGUCAGGCAUAUCUGGGUGCCCGACCUACCCCUUCGGUCCUCUCGACCGGAUAUUGCCUAGCAUAUCUGGGUGCUGGCCUCCCCUUCGGUCCUCUCGACCGGAUACUGCCUAGCAUAUCUGGGUGCUGGCCUCCCCUUCAGCCCUCUCGACCGGAUACUGCCUAGCAUAUCUGGGUGCUGGCCUCCCCUUCGGUCCUCUCGACCGGAUACUGAGGAAACCAUGUCUCCCCUCUACCACUACCACAUAACAUGUAACACAAUAUCAGAAUCUAUCUAACAUGGCUGGGUAUGACUACCCCUUCGGCCCUACCGACCGGAUAUCUUGGGGACUAUCUCCCCCUACUGUUACUAGUACAUAAAUGCAACACAGGUAGUAGUAAUCCCUUAGAUGAAUAUCACAAAGACAAUCAUCUACAUACAACUCCUACUGGUGGGCCGGCAUUGUGGCCGUAGACCCACCGCUACUGGAAGGUAACUCACCUCGAAGUAGCUGCUGAUCUGAUUGGGAACUGACUGUCUACUGCUGCUGCUGCUGCUCCGGAAAUCCUCCGGCUGCAAUUCCCACAACAUACUCAAGCAAAUACUGCUGGCUGACCUUUGGGUAAAAUGACCAUUUUACCCCUGGUCACGCCCUAAGUCAAAGUCAGAGUCAACUUUUAGUUGACCCGACUCGCCGAGUCCCUACCCAAACGAUUGCCCUGGGUCUCAUUUCUACUCGUCGAGUUAGGCUAUGACUCGACGAGUUCUUUUUCUAAACUGAUAUUCGAGUCCUUCAUCCUACUCGCCGAGUUGUAUGAACAACUCGUCGAGUUCAUCUUCAUCCGAUGAACACUAAUGCUAAGACUCGCCGAGUUGUAUGAACAACUCGUCGAGUCCAUCUUCAUCCAAAGAACACUUAUGCUGAGACUCGCCGAGUUGUAUGAACAACUCGCCGAGUCUGUUCUUGAUCUAAGGAGAUUGCCUUGAACUCGCCGAGUCAGGGCAUUGACUCGUCGAGUUCCUCCAUAGAUGAGUUCAGCUGCCAACUCACUGAGUCACACCCUGUGACUCACUGCACACUCAACACUACGAAAAGGGGACAAACUCGGAGACUCGCGAGCAGACUCGCCGAGUCGUUGCCAUGCACUCACUAAAUACACAGAUUUGCUCGAUUCCAGUCCAUGCCAUUCACAGAUCUGGGUUCCUAGAGCAUGAAUCACACGUAAAGUUUCCAACUUUACGUGUAGAUAUUCACCAAUAAGGGUUUUAGGGUUCAAAAUGCACCCAAAAGGGUAGAUCUAGGGUCUUCAUGCAAUGAGGGUCCAUAAAGGCAACAGAUCUGAGCUCCUAGAGCUCAACCAUGCCUAGAUCUAAGGGCCAAUCAGCCUAUUACGAGAUAAUUUGCACAUACAAACUUGGGGAUUGGCUCAAGGAUGACUUACAUGAAGUUAUAAGCAUAGAAACAGGGGAAAAACGGAUUAUACCUUAAAGGAACUGCUGAAAGAGUGCAAAGAUGCCUGGAUCCUUUCCUCCCUCUUGAUCUACUUCCUCUUUUUGCCUGAAAACCUUCAAGAACACACACAAUAGCCUCAAACUCUCAAGGAACAAGCUUAGAACGAGGGUUGGGAGCUCUGGGGGGUGAAUGGGGGCUGGCCUGGGGCGGAUAUGUUGUUUAAAUAGGGUGCAAACCCCUGAAACUUAGGGUUUCAUCCAACAGCGGUGACUCGCCAAGUCCAGAAUAUGGACUCGCCGAGUCGCCAACUUAAAAUGGUCCCGGGUCCCGUCCUUACUCGGCGAGUAUGACCUAUGACUCGCCGAGUCCAAGGUAAAAAGAAAGAGAAUACUCAAAUAAGAUUUACGCCAGGAAUCANUCUCCCCCACUUAUUUUAGACUUCGUCCUCGAAGUCUGCUGCUCGAUCCUGAAACAGCUCGGGGUAAUGCUCCAUCAUCUCGUCCACCGGCUCCCAAGUCCACUCCUAACCCUUGCGGUGCUGCUAUUGCACCUUCACUAGCUCCACCCUCUUGUUCCUCAAAUCCUUCGACUUCCUGUCGAGGAUUGCAACUGGGCGCUCAAUGUAAUUCAGGCUGGCAUCAACCUGAAUAUUAUCCAAUGGCACUACUGCUGAAUCGUCCACUAGGCACUUCCGCAGCUGAGAAACAUGGAAAGUGUUGUGGAUCUGGCUGAGCUCGGCUGGCAGAUCCAGCCUAUACGCCAGCUUGCCCACCCUGGCUACAACCCUAAACGGUCCGAUGAAUCUCGGGCCCAACUUGCCCCGCUUCCUGAAUCAAAUGACGCCUUUCCAAGGCGACACCUUCAGGAGAACCAUAUCCCCGACUUGGAACUCCAAGUCGGAUCGACGCUUGUCGGCAUAACUUUUCUGCCGACUCUGAGCAGUCUGAAGCCUGCUCCGGACCUGUUGGAUCCUCUCGGUCGUCUUGAGCACCACCUCGGUGCUCCUCAUGACUCUCUGGCCAACUUCACCCCAGCAUAUCGGGGUCCUGCACCUUCGUCCGUACAAUAGCUUAAAUAGGGGACGGUCAAUACUCGCGUGAUAGUUGUUGUUGUAUGAGAACUCGGCCAGGGGAAGAUAGGUAUCCCAGCUACCACCGAAGUCUAGCACGCACGCCCGCAACAUAUCCUCCAGAGUUUGGAUGGUCCGUUCGCUCUGACCAUCUGUUUGCGGGUGAAAGGUGGUGCUAAAGUGCAGACGAGUACCUAGCUCUUCAUGAAACUUCUUCCAGAACCUGGAAGUGAAUCGCACAUCUCUGUCAGAAAUCACUGAAACUGGCACUCUGUGCCGAGCUACUACCUCUCGGAUGUAGAUAUCGGCCAACUUCUCGGCCGNNNNNNNNNNNNNNNNNNNNNNNNNNNNNNNNNNNNNNNNNNNNNNNNNNNNNNNNNNNNNNNNNNNNNNNNNNNNNNNNNNNNNNNNNNNNNNNNNNNNNNNNNNNNNNNNNNNNNNNNNNNNNNNNNNNNNNNNNNNNNNNNNNNNNNNNNNNNNNNNNNNNNNNNNNNNNNNNNNNNNNNNNNNNNNNNNNNNNNNNNNNNNNNNNNNNNNNNNNNNNNNNNNNNNNNNNNNNNNNNNNNNNNNNNNNNNNNNNNNNNNNNNNNNNNNNNNNNNNNNNNNNNNNNNNNNNAUCCACGAUGACCCAAAUCGAAUCCACUCCACGUGCGGUCCUGGGAAGCUUCGUGAUAAAAUCCAUCGUGAUAUCUUCCCAUUUCCACAGUGGAAUAUCCAACGGCUGCAUCUUGCCAUGCGGUCUCUGAUGUUCGGCCUUGACCUUCCUGCAGGUCAAACAUCGCUCGACAUACCAUGCCACAUCCCGCUUCAUGCAGGGCCACCAAUAAUCUAGACGAAGAUCCCUAUACAUCUUCGUCGCCCCGGGAUGAAUAGAGAAUCGGGACUUGUGCGCCUCCUCCAUCAAAAUCUGGCGCACGCCUCCGUGAUACGGCACCCACACCCUACGGUGUAAUGUCAAUAGUGCCCGACUAUCAUAAUCAAAGGAGGAAAACUGACCCAUCACAUGCUCGCUUUUCCGAUGCUCCUCCUUGAUAGCCUCCAGUUGAGCCUCCCGAAUUCGCUCUAACAGGGGAGUCACCACGGUCAUCCUCAUGCAUACGUCCCUGAUCGGCGCCGCCUUGCGGCUAAGCGCAUCGGCCACCACGUAGGCCUUCCCCGGGUGGUAAAGGAUCUCGCAAUCAUAAUCCUUCACCACAUCCAACCACCGACGCUGCCUCAUGUUCAGAUUCGGCUGAUCCAUGAGGUACCUCAAACUCUUGUGGUCCGUGUAGAUGGUACAUCGAACCCCGUAGAGGUAAUGUCGCCAAAUCUUGAGGGCAAAAACCACCGCCCCCAACUCCAAAUCAUGCGUCGGGUAGUUCGCCUCGUGAGGCUUGAGCUGCCUCGAAGCGUAGGCAAUGACAUGCCCCCUCUGCAUCAGUACCGCGCCCAACCCAGAAAUGGACGCAUCACAAUAAACCACAAAAUCCUCUACGCCCUCUGGCAGGGCUAAGAUCGGCGCCUCACACAAUCUCUGUCUCAGCGUCUCAAAUGCAGCCUGCUGCUCGGGUCCCCACCGAAAGACCACGGCUUUCUUCGUCAGCCGCGUCAGGGGCACGGCUAUCUUGGAGAAAUCCUGGAUAAAUCUCCGAUAGUAGCCUGCCAAUCCUAGGAAGCUCCGAAUCUCAGAUGGGGACUUCGGAACCUCCCAUCUCAUCACGGCCUCGACCUUGGCCGGAUCGACCAGAAUCCCGUUCUGGUUGACGAGGUGUCCGAGAAAUUGCACCUCGCGCAACCAAAACUCACACUUGGAGAACUUGGCAUACAAGCUCUCCCUCCUCAGGGUCUCCAACACCUCCCUCAGAUGCUCCUCAUGUUCCUCCCGAGUCUUGGAAUAAACCAAGAUGUCAUCGAUAAAGACUAUCACAGACCGAUCCAGCAUCGGUCUGCAUACGCGGUUCAUGAGGUCCAUGAACGCGGCAGGAGCAUUGGUGAGCCCAAACGGCAUCACCACGAACUCAUAAUGGCCAUAGCGCGUCCGAAACGCGGUCUUCUGCAUAUCCUCCUCCCUGACCCUCAUCUGAUGAUAACCCGAACGCAAAUCAAUCUUGGAGAACCAAGAUGCUCCCUGAAGCUGGUCAAAGAGGUCAUCAAUCCUCGGAAGUGGGUAACGGUUCUUCACCGUUACCUUGUUCAGCUCCCGAUAAUCUAUACACAUCCGAUGCGACCCAUCCUUCUUCUUCACAAACAGAAUCGGGGCUCCCCAGGGCGAACUGCUCGGCCGAAUAAAUCCCUUGUCCAGCAGCUCCUGCAGCUGCGUAGACAACUCCUGCAUCUCGGGAGGAGCCAACCGAUACGGUGCUUUGGCUAUCGGAGCCGCACCGGGAACAAGGUCAAUCCUGAACUCCACCUGUCGCUCCGGAGGUAUCCCAGGUAGCUCCUCCGGGAAAACAUCUGCAAAAUCUCGAACCACCGGAACCUCGCUCACUGUCGCCUUACCCGCCUCCCGGGUAUCCAUCACAUACGCGACAUAUCCUGCGCAUCCCUGUUGAAGAUAGCGCCUAGCCCUCGCUGCUGAACAUACAGUGGGUCCACACUGUGGCCUCUCGCCAUGAAUCACUAACUCUCCCCCGAUUGGGGUCCUGACCCGCACUAGCUGCUGCGCGCAGUCUAUCACCGCCCCAUUAGGGCUCAACCAAUCCAUGCCGAUAAUCACUUUGUUCCCACGCAACGGAAUAGGAACCAAGUCUACUAGGUAACGCUCCUCAAACAAUCGCAGAACGCAAUCUCGAAACACCAUCGAUGCUCGCACCGAUCGGUCAUCAGCAAUCUCUACCUCUAAAGGGAAAUCUAACUCACCUGAAGCCUCAUGAAACCUCUUGCUAAGCGCAAGAGAAACAAACGAUCGGGAUGCACCCGAGUCGAACAAUACCUGAACUAGGAUGUCGUUCACAUGGAACGAUCCUAAUGCAUACAUAUACAUACGGAGCACAUAUCAAUAUCAUAAUAUCAUAAAACAAAAGAUAGAGGUAAAGAAUCAUACCCGUCACCACAUCGGGUGCGGCGCGUGCCUCCUCGGUAGUCAACUGGAAUGCCUGGCUCCUCACCGCCGGAGCCUCUGCCUUGCCCUGCCGGCCAUCCGUGAUCCGCAGGGUCGCUGGAGCUGGCGCCUUCACCGGCGCUGAAACUGUCAACUGGGGGCAAUUGGCCUUCUUGUGGCCCCUCUGGUUGCAGUGGAAACACAGCAACUCUGAUGUCUGAAUAACUGCUGCCGGAGUAGUGCAAUCCCUGUUAAUGUGUCCAGACUUGCUGCACUUGUAGCAGCCUGAUGAUCCCAUCCUGCACGCCCCCUCGUGCGACUUGCCGCAUUUCCGGCAGCGUCCUCGUCCCUGUUGGCCCUUCGGCCCCACAUCUGAUCCCUUGGGCUUCUUCCCCGAAGCCCCUCCUGUCUGACCCUCCUCUAACUUCCGUUUCCGGAUAUGCUCUAAAUCUAUCUCCCUCUCCCUCGCCCUGGAAAUCAUGGAGUCCAGGGUGGGGCAAGCUGAAAAGCUAACAUGCUNNNNNNNNNNNNNNNNNNNNNNNNNNNNNNNNNNNNNNNNNNNNNNNNNNNNNNNNNNNNNNNNNNNNNNNNNNNNNNNNNNNNNNNNNNNNNNNNNNNNNNNNNNNNNNNNNNNNNNNNNNNNNNNNNNNNNNNNNNNNNNNNNNNNNNNNNNNNNNNNNNNNNNNNNNNNNNNNNNNNNNNNNNNNNNNNNNNNNNNNNNNNNNNNNNNNNNNNNNNNNNNNNNNNNNNNNNNNNNNNNNNNNNNNNNNNNNNNNNNNNNNNNNNNNNNNNNNNNNNNNNCCUGGCCAACUGCUGAAGCUCGACAGCCGGCGCAAACUCUGCCCUGAACUUGGUCACAAAGUCCGACCAGGUCAUAGCCUCGAUAGCUGAGGCUCCCAAUGAGUCACCCACUGACUCCCACCAAUCACGGGCUCGGUCCCGUAAACACCCUGCUGCAUACCUCACCUUCGACCCCUCGGGGCAGAAGCUAGUCAACUGUGCAGACUCGAUGUCUGCAAUCCAUCGUCUGGAGGCAAUGGGGUCUUUCACCCUGUGGAAAUCUGGCGCACCACUGCCCCUGAAGUCCUUAAAGGACAGUGUGCGAGAUCCCGACUGGCCAGAUGCCAUGUCGCUCCUGAACGCCCUGAGGCGAUCCUCCAUCUACUCGAAGAUCCCUUCCUUGAUUGACCCGAAGAUAAUGGGGGUCGACUCAAGGAUCCCCCUGGUGAUCUCUGACGCGAUGAACUCGCGUAGUCCCUCAUCUACCGGCUCGGAACCUGAUCCCGAACCUGAUCCCUCUCCUGAACCGCCAUCUAUCGACCUCGAUCGUAGUACCACCAUUGGGCAAUACAUAAAUAGCAAUCAUUAAUGAUACUAAUACUCCUUGAGGAAUCAUAUCUACCACAAGUUCCCUGGUCUCAUCUUGGCCUCCCUUGGUUCGGGUACGGAUCCUCUGCUUUCAGUAGUACGGGCCCAUACUACCUUCCACAUCUAUCCGUACCUUCUUCAAGGUAUGCCUUGACUCCACCAGAUCCCUUUCACUAAGGCUGAUCACUACUAUAAUCAUCCCAGGCUCGCCCUAGGGAAAUCUCCGUCUCUACUCGAUCCAGUCCUUAGUUCCUGCAGGCCUCCUUGUAAUGCCAAUUAGCCAUCACCCGAAUACCAUCACAUGCAACGAGACUCAGAUAAUCCUUCAAGUACCCGACUCGUCCCUACAACGGUUGGACUUAAACAAGAGCUGUGCAGUAGGAUCAAAUCCGGUACUCUAAGAUUAUUCAACUCUGAUCACAUGUGACGUGACGUAUUCACCCAAUGGCUAAUUCCCAUUAUUCGGAGUCCCACGUAGCACGAAGCAAGCAGCAUUCAGACAAGGGAAACAACCUCAAGCAGUUCCACUCUCAUGGAGAGAAACUGAACUAACACACCGUGCUAACUCUUACUAUCAGUCACACCCUAACAGGUUACCCUACUGCUGUCUACUCUAUACUAGCAUGCAAUUCUCAUACAGCUGGAACACAUAAAGCAGGCACAUAAGGCAUCACUCCUAGAUCCUUAGUCCUAUUCUAGCAUGUUGUUCUACAAAAGCUGAUAAACAUAACAUAAACUUGUAUGGGUACUUUGGGGAAUACUUACUUGAGCUCGGCCGGUGGCGCACAUCACACACUUCGUUCUUUCUUAAACUCUUUUCUCAAUUUUAGAAAACAUUUUUUUUAAAAAGAAAAAUCUUUUAAUCCCUCGAUUUGAGUUCAGACACCCCCGAAGGUGAGUCCGAAUCCCUCAAACCAGGGCUCUGAUACCAACUUGUAACGACCCAAUUUUCGUGUCCAAAAAUUUCGUUUUAAAACAUUACUUUAGGAAAUAUCAUCAGUUAAAAAAAUUGUUGGAUCAAACCAUAAUACAACGUAGACCAAGUUAAAAAGUCAAAUCAUACAACCCAUCAAAAUAUCAGAGUAUAAAUCCCAGAGAAUCUCGUAAAUGCGGAAACCAGAGUGUGUGCAUGAUGUGCCGCUACCGCGCCAGCUCCUUCCCCUUCGAUGAAGAGGUACCUGAAACCAAAACUGUAAAACGUAAGCACAAAGCUUAGUGAAUUCCCCCACUGUACCACAUACCACAUAAUCACAUAACAUACGUAAAUUGUCAGGCAUAUCUGGGUGCCCGACUCUUAUAUAUAUGGAAUGGGCCAAGUUCAUUUAGGUUGGGCUAAGCUUUCAUGGAUAGUCCAUGGAGUGUUUAACCCAUGGAUCCUAGGAAAUGAAAGGUCAUGGGUAUUAGGGUUUAACCCUAAUCCUCCACACUAUAUAAAGAUGUCCUUGGUUGGUGAAAUUGGCACUAGUGUGGAUACACUAAGAAGGNAAAGGGCUAGCCGAUUUCAUGAGUUGUAGAAUUCUCUCAAGCUAUUCUAAGUGUUUUGGUGAUUGUGAUUCCACUUGAGGCUUCCACACUAUUGGGGCUAAGCUCUUAAAGCUUGAAGACAUCAAGCUACAUCAAAAGGUAUGUAUUCUAUCUUGUUACAUUCAUUGAUUUGUAUGCUAGAUUAGGAUAAUACCUUGGAAGUUCUUAUUUGCAUGUAUAAUAGAGAAAACAUAGAUCCAAUGUAUUUAGGGUUGCAUGUACACUUAGGAGUGUUAGAAUGCUCAAAAUCCAACACUAAGGGCCAAUCAGCCUAUUACGAGAUAAUUUGCACAUACAAACUUGGGGAUUGGCUCAAGGAUGACUUACAUGAAGUUAUAAACAUAGAAACAGGGGAAAAACGGAUUAUACCUCAAAGGAACUGCUGAAAGAGUGCAAAGAUGCCUGGAUCCUUUGCUCCUUCUUGAUCUACUUCCUCUUUUUGCCUCAAAACCUUCAAGAACACACAUAAUAGCCUCAAACUCUCAAGGAACAAGCUUAGAACGAGGGUUGGGAGCUCUGGGAGGGUGAAUGGGGGCUGGCCUGGGGCGGAUAUGUUGUUUAAAUACGGUGCAAACCCCUGAAACUUAGGGUUUCAUCCAACAGCGGUGACUCGCCGAGUCCAGAAUAUGGACUCGCCGAGUCGCCAAUUUAAAAUGGUCCCGGGUCCCGUCCUUACUCGGCGAGUAUGACCUAUGACUCGCCGAGUCCAAGGCAAAAAGAAAGAGAAUACUCAAAUAAGAUUUACGUACCAGGAAUCAGGUACUACACAUGUUGAACAAGGGUUUCCAAAUAAUUUGAAAAUAAUAAAAUAAAUCAUUUAAAUACUGAAUCAUACUCGUCUUUUUCCUACGGAAACAAACAACGGAUAUAUUUCGCAAGCAGUCCCCGUGUCUAUGAUUAUUGCACACUCGUCUUGGAAUUAUAAAAUGUUUUGUAUUUGAAUAGCAUCAUUGAAGCUCACUAGUCUUGAUUAUUGCACACUCGACUUGGAAUUAUAAAAUUGGACCCCCUCCUUAUAAGUGUUGAUCAACAAAUCACCAUUGUUGGUCAGUUGCAAAGCUCCUUUGAUUGAAAUCAAAGAACCAUUUGUUUUCAAUUUUAAAACCACAAACCAAGAAGCAUCUCUCCACACCUAAUUAAACAUCUUUCACAAGAAAUCAAAGCUGGAGAACCUUGGAUGGUUGUUAGUCUGUUCACUACCCAACUCAAACCGGGUACAGGCAAUGGAAUCAUACCAAAAACAUGAGUGUUCAAAUCGAAGGUUAGUAUACAAGAAAUGCAUUUGUCUUGUGAUUAUGUAUGAUAACCUUGUACCUCCCAAUGAAACACUCCACAGAAAAAAUAGGCUUGAUAUGACACAUAAGUAGACUGAGGUUUAGGGGAAGCAAUUCCACACCAAAUGCCACUCUUCACAGCAUAAACAAAUUAAUGGUCUUUGGCACACCAUAUGUAGCACCUGGUUCUUGGUAUGUGUUCUGUUAUUAAAUCUUCCUUAUUUUUGCAUUUUUGGCCUUGGACUCGGCAAGUCGAAGGACUGGCUCGCCGAGUAGAAGCGGGAUGAGGCGCGGGAUUGAAGUCGCGGAUUAGGCGAGUCGAGUCCCGGACUCGGCGAGUAGCUGCUGUUUGGGCAAAAACCCUAAUCCAAGGGGUUGCACCCUAUUUAAACGACCUUAUGCAGCCUCCUUUCCCCCUUUAUGCUCCCAAACACUCCUCAUAGCAAACCCUAGCCGUUCUUGUGAGUUUUGAUCUCAAGGAAGAAGGAGGAGCAUAGAAGGAUCAAGAAGGGACUGAAGGAUUCGAGUUUGGUUCAUCAUUUGCAGUCUUUGGAAGGUAUAAAGUCUGAACCUUGCUCAUUCUUUUGUUAGAUCCCUCUUUGGGGUGAUUUAUGGCUUUUAUAAGCCAUUUUUGGUGGUCAACCAUGUUUGCAAACAUGGUUGGGGGUUUGGGCUUCUGUAUCAUGUCAUUUUAUGAGCCACAAGUCAGAUUUAGGUUGCUUUUUUCACCAAGGAAGGCCUCAUGCAACAAAAGAACCAUUCUAGAGCCUUUUAAGCUCUAAUGUCCCAUGCAUGCACGUAAAGUUUGUAACUUUACGUGCUAAAUCGAGUUUAGGGGCCUGGAUCUAUCAUUUGGUUAAGUGUUGUACAUCAGAAAUCAAAGUUCUUAGUAAGGAAUGUGAUAGACUCGGCGAGUCCAUUCUUGGACUCGACGAGUCCAAGGGUUUUGGUCCCAUAUCAGUGAGGGUCGUAAGGACCAGUUGAGUGUGGAAGGGUUUUUAGGAGUCUCGGGGAGUGACCCAACGUUCUGGACCAAGCAAAGGGUUCUGGGAAUUCAUGGUACUCGGCGAGUGCAUGAACGGACUCGGCGAGUCCAAGACAAUCUUCAUGGAACUCGGCGAGUUGUUCAUCAACUCGGCGAGUCGAGGACAUAACGUGUUCAUAGGAUGAAGAGUAACUCGACGAGUUGUUCAUACAACUCGGCGAGUCAGGUCAGGACAUGAGCAUCAGUUGAUGUUGAACUCGACAAGUUGUUCAUACAACUCAGCGAGUCAGAUGUGGAUUCAGUCGGUGUUCAUUUAGAAGGAAAACUCGUCGAGUCAUCGCCUAACUCAACGAGUAGAGACGGGUAUGAGGUCUGAUGGAAGGAUAAGGACUCGGCGAGUUGACGAGUCAACUCGGCGAGUCAGGUCAACUGGAAGUUGACUUUGACGUUGACUUUGACGUUGACUUUGACUUGGUCAAGGAGUAAAAUGGUCAUUUUACCCUAAGGGUAGAUGUCAGUUUCUGACUAAGUGUUUUCUGGGAAUUUUUAGCCGGAGGACUUCCGGAGCAGCCGCGGCAGCAGUCUGAGGAUUUCUGCACAGUUCAGCAGAUACGAGGUGAGUUGCCUUCCAGUAGGGGUGGGUCUAAGGCCACAAUAUCGACCCACCAUUGAGGAGUAUUUAGAAGAUAAUUAUCUUUGUGAUAAUUUAUCUUGGUUUGGUUUGCAUUUGGUUAUGUGUUAUAUCUGUAUGAUAUGUUGCAUGAUAGGGAUAGUUUCCCUAAUAGUGGUCCGUAGGACCAAGGGGUAGGUCAGUACCCGGAUAUGUCUGAAUGUGUGCUUAUAUCUGCUAUUGUAUGCUAGUGGUAGGGGGUGGAAUAGUCCCCAGUUACCGGUUGAAAGAUACCGAUGACGAUUACCGGUUGAAAGAUACUGAUUAUAUUGUAUGGUAUGUGGUAUGAUGGGGGAACUGACUAAGCUUUGUGCUUACGGUUUCAGUUUUUGGUUUCAGGUACCUCUUCAUCCAAGGGGAAGAGCCGGCGGCGUAGCAUGGCAUCACACACACUCACAUAUGAUUUCCGCAUGGUGUUUCUGGGAUUGUACUCUGAUGUGACAUUUGUUCAUGGUUGUGGGUUUUUAACAUGAUACUUGGUUUUGAGAUGACAUGUUUAUACAAUAUUUCCUAAUGAAUGUUUAUGAUUUAAUUAAUAAAAAAUGAAAUUUUUUUGGGCUUGAAUUUUGGGAUGUUACACAAUAUCAAGACAAUCUUGUAAUCAUUACUGAUUGAAUCGAAUCCAAACCCAAUCCUUGCCCAAGGGAGUUUGUGAACUCCGAGGACAUUCAGGCACACUUAGUAAGAACCUAAUUGAAGGGUUCCGUAGACUCAAAUGAUUUUUAAUCCGCAAACAGAUGAUUCCAUUACAUGAAUCAUCAAUUCUGCCACUAGGAAACUGAACUGGUGUUAUACCAAUGUAUCCACGUUUACUGCACAAUGGCAAAUGGUCUUCUCCAUUUAAUGUAUAAAAAUCUGCGUCUUCAUUUCUGUAACUCUUUCCAUGUCUGAAUAGAAUUUUUUGUGGGGAUCGAAAAGUGUGCAUGCCUAAGAAACUGGGGCUAGAAUACAACUACAUAACGACUUAGAGAGUGACCUAAAUCCGAGGAGGGAUUUAGGCAGUAGUCUUGUAAAUACUUAAAUAAUUAACUCUUCACAUAGAUAAUCUGACAUUGUUUAGUCCUGCAUUUUUUUUAACAAGAUAAAAAUCAGCUGAAAUAUAUUAAACUAUUUGUGUUAGCUUUUCAAUGAAUCAAAUUCUUGACUGAAAUCAAACAAAAUCAGUUAAGUUUAAAUUUGGUUUUCCUUAUUCCUUGUAUAAAUAUGCCAUAUUCUUUAUUGAUGCAACAAUACUGUUCAUUUGCUACCUCUCCAUGACAGAAGAUAGAAAACUUGAAAUUUUAGUAGCCAUCAUCGAAUAAAUUGAUAUGGAAAAAGAUAAGAUCUUAAAAGGGGAAUUGACUAUUAACAAAACAAGUUACCAGAGAAACGGAAGAAGAGCAACGACGGAUCAUGAUGAAGAAAAAAAGCUUAGACGCCUUAAAUAUGUUUGGAUAUAGGCCCAACCCAAAUUUUAUUAAUUCUCAAACUCUUUAAAGUUUAAAUUCUUUUCUAUCCGAUAUUUAUUUCGUUUAUAAAAUUUAACUAGGUUAAAACCCGUGGAACCCACGGGUGUUAAUUUUAAAUAGAAUUAAAAAAUUGAUUAUGUAAUAAAAUAAUAUGUUUCAUUAAUCUGAUCUUACCACUCUAUAAUCUUGUAUUCUAUAACUUUUCAAUUUCUUAUAGAAAACACAUAAAGGAAACUGAUACAAAAACAUAUUUUCAUUUCUUCUUACCAUAAAAACAACUUUCAUGAAACAAACAAAAUGUUUAAAUGAACAAAUAGAACAUGAAAUAAAGAAUAUGUGAAUUCCAGAUGAACAAAUACAAUCAAACACAUUCAAAGACAACAUUAAGUCAACAAUUGGAAAAAAUAAAAAUAAAAAAUGCUCUCAAUUUACACAAGAACAGGUCACACUGAAAUCUGUAUGGGUGUUGUAUCUUUGCAAAGAUAGUUUCCCAUAGCUUGAGCACACCACCAACAACUACUGUAACAACAAUGAGUAAAUUCAAAAUAGCAAGGAUCCGAAUCAACAAAAAAAUUCCAGUCAGUUCUUUUUUAUUAACAAUUUACCGAAAAUACCCCUUAGAUCUUUUGGUAUAAUAAAGGUUGCAAAUGCCCUGAAUCCAAUUGCAAUUGAUUCUAUAAUCACAUAGGCAUUGAAACUUCAUUUGCUAUCACAGAAAAAAAAGCACAUUGUUGUAAUAAUCCAGAAAAAUGACCAAAGUACCCUCAGAACGUAUUAUUGCACCAGACGCUCCAAACUCAAAAGACUUCAAAUCCAAUCCGAAGCCCCGCCUGUCUAGCAUAAAAUCGAAUAUCCAAACUAACCCAGAGAACUAUCACAUAUGCCAAAAUUCAAAAAAAGAUUGAAAAUGCCCUUUUUCCAAAUUGUUACACCAAGACUCAAAAUUCCUUUCUAAACAUCUCCUCUUAUCUUUCUUUUUCCCGUGAAAAUAGAGAUUAAAAGUGCACAAGUACAGGUACUUACUUCCCAAUAAAUUUGAACUUCUCUAAAUUUGAUGUUUUGGCAAUCAUAAUUCAUCAGAGUUUUUCACAAAUCAACUUCAUCUAAUAGUUUAAUCUACUCAAUAUUUUUACUUAUCCUUGAUAAAACAACAACAAUGUGUCAAUAAGAAAAAUUAGCUAUAAUACUAUAAUUGAAUAUUUCGAACAAUGUGGUUUAUUUGAAUUUAUUUGGAAUAUAUCUAAAAGUUACUAAAAAUGAAUUUGACUCAUUUCAGUAAAUAUUAUAUGUACGUUUUCUAUUUUGGUUGUAGUUAACUAUUUUGAUUAAUUUAAUAACAGUAGAGUAAUCAACAAAAGAAUAAGAAAGACAUAUUAUUAAAUAAUAUAAGUUACUUUUUUAACAUUUACAUACAAAACUUUUAAUAAGAGUUAGAAUUGAAAAAAUUUUGGAAUUUUUAUUAACAUAGUAGCUUCAUUUGGUUUGUAUCUAUAUAAAAGCAUCAUUCGAUUCCAUUACUACUAAAUUUUCAAAAUUCAUUUACAAAGUAAUUUAUGAGUCAUCACGUCAAGAAAUUUUAAUGAACUUAUUCUUAAAAAAUGAAAAAAAUAAAGUCUAAAUCAAUUUAAUUUAGACUAUAUAAAAUGGUAGCUUGACUUGGGUAUAACCAAAGCAAACAUCAAUCGAGACACUUUCUUCCUCUCUGCUUGGUUUUUGGGAACCUAACCAAGAAAUAACUAUGUUAUUGGCAUAAUAUCUUAUAGAAACUACAAAUCGAUCAUGUGAUAAAUGCAAUAUAUAGCAACAUAUUUUCAUUUUUAUGUCUAAUAUAACAUCAUACUUUGUAUUAUAAAAAGCACAUUGCUAAAUUUAAAAAAUAAAAGUAAUUAUUACCUGUUUUAAAAUUAGAGAAUGGUCCCUCUCCUAAAUAUAUUUAACAACAGGUAUAGUCCCUAUUUAAAUAAAUUUACAAAAAUGAUCCAUAUAUAAAAAUAGUGUAUAAAUAGCCCAUGUUUAAUAAAAUUAACAUUAAUCGUCCCUAUAUAAAAAAAUGAUCAAAUUGACUGGUCAAAAUUAUCAGAUUGAGCAAAAUGGUCAAAAUGAGUACUUUUAGCAAAAAAAAAAAUAUACUUCUUGUUUUAAGAGUUUUACUUUUACAUCUAUGUAUUGCUUUUAUUUUUGUUUAACUGGGCCAAAUUAUGAAGAAAAAAACCCCGAUAAAAAUGACCAAAUUGGACAAAAGGUCAAAAUGGUCAUUUUGACUAAAAAACUCAAAAAAAAAUCGAACUUUUUAUUUAAAAAGUUUCAUAUUAGUAUUUUUUUUUAGCAUAAGUACACCAAAACUAUGAAUCUUUUUUUUUUUUUUGUAAGAAUGACAAAAUGACCAAAAUGGUCAUUUUGACUAAAAAAGAAAAAUGAACACGCUUAAAUUAGAAAAUUCUAUUUCAUAGCAAUUAAUAUAGUAAGGAGUAAAUGAAUAUUUGACAUAAAACCCCAUAAAAGGAAAUUCACUGAUAGUAAUAUGUGAGACUUGAGAUGCCCAUCCCGGUCAAACCACAUCUUAAUCACUUUGUCAAGAAUAUCUUCAUCAGUCUGCACCAAAAAGGGUACAAAAAUACAAUAAUGAUGGGUUUUGGUCAUAAGACAUCCUAUGUGCUCAUACAAACCCUAAUGCUUGGAUCUAGGUUUGUCUAUUGUACAUGCUUUGAAUCCAAGACUAUAAACCCUAAUUCUAGCAUAUGGAAAUCAAUAUUAACAUAUAAUUAGGUUUAAGAUAUUACCUUGAUUGUUAUGUAGCAAUAACAAUCCCAAUUCCUCCUUGAAUUGACUUUGGAAGGCUUAGAGUCACAAGUGUCACUCCUCUAAUGGCUUACAAACACCAUAAGCAAGUGGAGAAGGUAUAAAGAGAGAGGAGAGAGGUAGGAAUUCGUCCUUAGGACUUCUUGGGAAGGGUUAGACGAAUUCAUAAGCCUUAGGGGGUUUAUAUAGGUGUAAAGAUUAGGGUUUUAGUCCUUAUCCUUAUCUAGUUGCUUGUCCACCAAGCAACCAUAAGAUAAGUCCUAGAAACCCUUAUCCUAGUCGAAUUCUAAGGGAUUUACACCUCAAAUUCGUUCACCAUAUAUAUAAGAUAAUCCUUACCUUAUUUUGUAACUAUCACAUAAUUACAAUUCAGCCCCUCUAGUUUAAUUAAUUACACUUGAUCACAAAAUUAAUUCUUAAUUAAUUAUUGACCAAUAUUAAUUAAACAAAUAUGAUUUCUCCUUUAAUAUAUUAUUCUUAUAACAUAUUAAUAAAUCAUAAUAACCUCUCUCUCUAUUUAUUUCUCCAAUCAAGUUGCUUUGGUGAAGGCAACCCAAAAGGACCAUGCACCAUCGGGUCAAGUACAUACCAAAAUAGUUAUGGACUUAGACACUAAUCCAACAGUCUCCCACUUGGAUAAGUCUAACAACUAUUCUGCGUAUGACUUCGGAUCCCGAUCUGCAAUCGUAGCUUUCCAAAGCCGCUGUCAACUCUGAUCAUAUCAGAUACGCGUGUCCUUAGAUAAGGGAUCAUAUAUUCCUCCAUUCUAGAUAUCAUAUGAGAUAUGAUUUCAAAUCAUUCUCUUUGUACUAUAUCUCGAUUUCCGAUUUAUGACGACUGACUAAUUGAACAAAUCAAAUUAGCCCUAGCCCGGCCGAGCAUUUACGUUUGUCAUCACUAAACCAUCGAGGGGCCCAAAGAUAUCGCUUUUAUCCUACUUUGGAUAAAAGGAACGGAUAAACUUUGAUACAAUGCUUGCUUGCACUCACUCACCGAAUCACACACAACAAUAUGUUUUAUAACACCAAGUUACUAGUGCGUUUACAUAUUAUCAAUGUGCAACCGAUUUGCAAGAUACAACUCACACAUCUCGGUUUCAAGAAUAUAAGAUGUUAUCGUCUCACCAAUCACUCGUGAUACAAUUCAUGGAGUGAUCCAAGUGAGCGUGGGUUUAAUCCAAUGCUCAAAUCACAUUCAUAAGCACUCAUGAACGUUGCAGCAAACAUUUGCUUAUGUCUA